CUCUAAGUCAGAGAUCUAAGACGAAAUCUUCCAAGUAUGAAACAUAUCCAGAGGUGUGUCUGUCAAGUUUUUUAUUGGCUUGUCAUAGACAUGCACACAAAUAGCCUGUAGCAAACCCUUCCCACUGUAGGACUGUGUGGUGACCUCAGUUUCCUUUCAGGGCUCGAUUUUGGACUUGGGGAAAAGCAUGCUCAGUCCCAAGCCUCCAGGCUCACUGGGCCUGGACAGGUAAGGCAACAGCUGUACAGGCUUUGGUUCCUCUCCCCUACACUCCUAUAGAAAUGUGCCCCGUGAGUCUGCCUGGAGGAUCCAGAAAGAGGAACGCAGAAGUCCUUUCCACCCUCCCAACUCUUCUGGCACCUGGCAGCCAAUUGCACAUUAGGUGCUGAGACCAUCAGGUAUUUUUUCAUGUGGGCAUCUGAACGGUGGUGGGACUGCAGUCUCUUUUGGUCACAAUAACCCUGAAGAUGUUUGUGACAGCUUUUUACACCUCUUAUGCAAUACAGAAGGAGUUUGUGAUAAUUUCAUGCCACAGGAACCACUCUUUAGAUGCUGAGAGCAGCAUCUUCCCAAACAGCUGACUGAUCUGCAGGGGAAAGACAAGCCAGUGUGCCAGGGAUGGAGCAAGUACUGCUCUGCAUCAGCUGCUCCUGGAGGAGAGGGGGAGAACAGCAGCAGUGGUGUUGUGGAUGGUGUGGAAACCAACUUCAGCUCAGGACUUGCAAUGGCUGCUUUCCUGAAGGUUAGAACAAAUGUACGGAAAAGGUAUUUGGAGUUAAGACUUGCCUUAAAAAAAAAAAAACACAGGAAAGCUAAAGCAAGUAUGAAAAUAAAUUAGAAAUGAGGGGCAGAUAAAAGCAGAACCUGCAGGAAUCAAAUCUAAACAAAAAGCAGGGGCUGGGCCGUCCAGUGAGAAAGCCACAAAUGGCAGGGGUUGAAAUGUAAAACCUACAGGCCACUGAGAAACAUGAAAGAUGCUGUUGUGUUCCACACCUCCUUUUCCCGGGUGUAGCUGUCUCCAUACAGUGAAGGGCAGUAAUGAAUCAAGCUCCUUUCCUCUCCUCCUGUGUUUUCUAUUCAAUUAUUCACAGGCUGUGCCAGUUCUGCUUUAUUUCUCCCCUCCAUAUGCUGCACUCUCCUCCUGGGGUUUUCUAUUCUGAGCUAUGCCUUUGGCCUCUCUCCCAUUUCUUUCUCCUCAGCAUGUGCCCCCUGCUCUGCUAUGAUCUGCUGCCUUUGUAACCUCUGCUGUGCACAUAUGCUGGCUCUCCCUCCUUUCCUUGGCUCCUGGUCCGUCGAGUGUCCCUUCGCUUCACACUGAUGUUUUUGCCAGGGGGUCAGCAGCCUGCCAGCAAAGAAACAAUUCUGCUAUGGCCACUGCUUGUGCUUUCACGCUGCCAGCUCCUCUCUGCCGAUCAAGGGGAAACCAUGCUGCUCCCCUUGCACAGCUGAUUGGUAGCGAAGGCAAGGAUGGCUCUGCAGCUGCUUAGCAACUGGGAGCUGCUGCUGUGCAGCCCCGCAGAAAGGCAAGGGACAGCGCAGCACUCGCUAAUUCUGCACGUUCUGGCCCACUCGGCUGAAAACCGCGGCUUAGUGGAGCAGCUGGGGCACUCCCAGCUGUCCUGACAAAAAUAAAUCAAGCUGAGGAUCCUUCACUGCAGAUACGGCAGCAACAGCAGCAGUGUCAAGGGCAAAACUAUCUUUCUUUUGUGCCAUAGGUUGUUUGCAUCGUGCCAGUUAGGAGAAAAUGCUCCAAUUUGUAAGCUAAACUCAUUCCAUUUGAUCUUUGUCAUCGCUUUUCAGGCUGUAACAUUUUAUGUUCCAUCACUUAUAAUGAGAACGUUCCCUCUGUGUGCUGCGUUUGCUCAAAAGGCUCACGGGUCUCCAGCUACCACCACUUCGAAGCUGUUUAAUGAUAGAUGUCCAGGCAGAUAGGUAUUUUAAUGCAUAAAUAUCCUUUCAGAUUACUUAACUCUAUAUUCAUGUCCUUUUGAUGCAAGUCCAGUGAAUGUCAGAUAUGUCCAGCAAUCUGACAGCUUUAGAAUGUUGAUUAGAAUUGCCAACCUUCUUGAUUUAAUGAUUUUUUAAGCCUGAAAGUACUGUAAACAAUAACGAGUUGUACAUGCUGAUGGGAUCACAGCAUUUCAAUGGUAGCUCCAUUUCAAUGGCAAGCAGCAACACAAAACAUGCUGUAAUUCAGAUGUUGAAACAGCUUCUUUAUUCUUUAAAAGCUCAAGAAUGAUUAGAUCUCUGAAAGCACAAGCUACCUUUCUUACAGAGGUGGCUUUGUCAUAAUACUACCAGAAAUAAAAUGAACAGAUGUAGUUUAAAAGGAGAAGAAAAAAGCCAGCCCUGGCAAAUGCCCAACAUGUCCAUCAAAACUUGUAUAGAUCUUAAACAAAAGAAAUGUUUGUUCCCCUGUUGCAUAUGAAGGUAUCUCUCUUUGUACUCAGGCACGAACACCCAGCAGAAUGGUGGUUCCCCAUCAUUAUGCAGCACACACAGCCCAUGUGCAUACAGCCCAUGCAUCUGCAGAGCAUGCUGAAACACAGCCUGUACACAGCUCCAUGGGACAAGGAUCUGGGACGGAGCAUUCGCUCGAGCAGACCGAGGUACAGCAGCGUCAGUAACGGAAAGCAGAAGCCAGGCAAAGCUCAGUUUAAAAGGUAUCUUAAUUCCAUCUACCAGGUAGAUUUUCAUGGAAACAGUCUGCCAAUUCUUACUUUACUCUCAGAGGCCAUUUUUAAAAUUACAACGAUGAUAUUUUCUCUAAGAUACAGGUAUGCUAUUGUUAAAUUCUCUCAAAUGAGAAAAAAGCAACACAUUCCCAAAUAUCUUACGACCUGCAUCAUGCAGGAAGUCAAACCAGACAAACCUAGGUCCCUUUUGUCCUUUAUAAUCUGCUAAUCUAGUCUGCUUGCACAAGCAGCAGAUUGUGACAUGCAGACCUUCAACAGAAAGGAUUCUGUGUACAAACCAGUCUGAAACAAAAUGUUGUAAACAGUCCCAGUCAUUGUUUGGCAGAGCGGCUGCAUAUUUGUUAUUUCACUUUGCCUCUCAAUCUAAUUUGCUUUAGUCACAGCACUUUGCCAAAGAAAUUAAACAACAUCUUAUUGAUAACAGGCACUAAAAUAAUUACCAUGAGUUUUUGACUCAACGACACAGGGGAGGGACGCUGCGGGUAAGAACAAACCCCACUGCAUUAAGAACGUGCAUGGAGUGACCACGGGCCAUUUGGAGGAAAAAAUCUUUGUUUCCUUUCCCCUGAAAGAGCUCUUUCUUUUCCUGAAGAGGCUCGGGCAGCAAACCAGGGUCAGCCUAACCCGAGGCUAGAAGUCUGCUCUGACCUCUGUGGGCUUUAAGCACGCUGUACCAGAACGCUUCUCUUUUCAAAUAGGAGGUUCAACCAUUAAACCACCCACUCCAGGGAGCACAACCGGUCUCAACCGCCUCGGUUGCUUUUCAACAACACUGAACAUUACAGUCAUUUAGAAACCCUACAAACGUACAGAAAUUUUCAGUUCAGACUUACAACAGCCAUUUCCAGAAGUGCUGAGGACCCACGCAGAGCCCUGGCUCUGCUUUACCCCGUGGGGUUUGGCCGGUGUGGGCCCUGGUGCGUGCUGGGGAGCAGCCGGGGGUUCCAGCACCGUCCAUGCGGUGAUGGAUUGCACACAGCAGCAGUCACGGUCCUGCGGAGACGUGCAGAGAGGUGCGAGUGCAGACAAAGCUGUCUGAGCUCCCACGGUAUUAUGGUCUGGCUGAAUUGUUUCGAAGCCUGUGCUGCGUUAGGCAGAGCUAGUUUGCUUCAGGGUUAAACAGACCAAAAUUGAGGUUUAAAAUGCAGACGUUAAGAUCCAUAGAUCUAUUUAAACACCAGCUUAAAAUCCAGGGAAGCUCAUGGCUGGUGCUGUUUCAAUCAGCCAAUUCUUUAAUGGCUUUGCAUGCUGACAACUCAUGAUGAUGCAAGUGGCUGAAACACUGCAGCACAGCUCUAAAGAACCCUGCAAAACCCUGAGGACGGCUCAGCACCUCUCCGGCCAUGGCGUCCCGCUCCAGGAGGCGUCCCACGUUCCCAGAAACAGCAGAGGAGCACUGUAUCGCUGUUCGGAGCACUGUAUCGCUGUUUGCUUUAACCAACGCCGCGUCUCUUCCAUGUGAGGGCAGAAGGGGCUCCAGCAGCACUCCCAUCAUGGCUGCUGGCAGGGCAGGGUGCAGGGAUGGAGCCCAGCCUUGCAGUUUUUCCUUUUUUUUUUUUUUUUUUUUUGCUUUUUUUUUUUUUUUUUCCUUUGGAAAUGUGUUCUGUGUUGUGUGGACAACAGCUUCAAGACCAAAGAGGGGAUGGGG
ensembl:lncRNA